CGGGAUGUAGCGCAGUUUGGUAGCGCGCCACAAUGGGGUUGUGGAGGCCGCUGGUUCGAAUCCAGUCAUCCCGACCA
rnacentral:tRNA from 2 species